rnacentral:rRNA from 1 species
AGUGAACGCUGGCGGUAGGCCUAACACAUGCAAGUCGAACGGCAGCACAGUAAGAGCUUGCUCUUACGGGUGGCGAGUGGCGUACGGGUGAGGAAUACAUCGGAAUCUACUUUUUCGUGGGGGAUAACGUAGGGAAACUUACGCUAAUACCGCAUACGACCUACGGGUGAAAGCAGGGGAUCUUUGGACCUUGCGCGAUUGAAUGAGCCGAUGUCGGAUUGGCUAGUUGGCGGGGUAAAGGCCCACCAAGGCGACGAUCCGUAGCUGGUCUGAGAGGAGGAUAGGCCACACGGGAGCUGGAACACGGACCAGGCGCCUACGAGAGGCAGCAGUCGGGAAUAUUGGACAGUGGGCGCGAGCAUGAUCCAGCCAUACCGCGUGUGAGAAGAAGGCGUUCCGGUUGUAAAGACCUUCUGUUGGGAAAGAAAAGCAGCAGGUUAUGACCCAGCUGUUCUGACGGUACCCAAAAAAUAAGCACCGGCUAACUUCGUG